rnacentral:rRNA from 1 species
GACGAACGCUGGCGGCGUGCCUAAUACAUGCAAGUCGAGCGGACGAAUUUUGGUGCUUGCACCAAAUUUUCGUUAGCGGCGGACGGGUGAGUAACACGUGGGUAACCUACCCUACAGACUGGGAUAACUUCGGGAAACCGAGGCUAAUACCGGAUAAUAUUUAGAACCACAUGGUUCUUUAUUGAAAGAUGGUUUUGCUAUCACUGUAGGAUGGACCCGCGGCGCAUUAGCUAGUUGGUGAGGUAACGGCUCACCAAGGCAACGAUGCGUAGCCGACCUGAGAGGGUGAUCGGCCACACUGGGACUGAGACACGGCCCAGACUCCUACGGGAGGCAG